AGCGAACGCUGGCGGCAGGCUUAACACAUGCAAGUCGAGCGGGCACUUUCGGGUGUCAGCGGCGGACGGGUGAGUAACGCGUGGGAACGUGCCCUCUGGUUCGGAAUAACUCAGGGAAACUUGAGCUAAUACCGGAUACGCCCUUUUGGGGAAAGGCUUGCUGCCGGAGGAUCGGCCCGCGUCUGAUUAGCUAGUUGGUGAGGUAACGGCUCACCAAGGCGACGAUCAGUAGCUGGUCUGAGAGGAUGAUCAGCCACACUGGGACUGAGACACGGCCCAGACUCCGACGGGAGGCAGCAGUGGGGAAUAUUGGACAAUGGGCGCAAGCCUGAUCCAGCCAUGCCGCGUGAGUGAUGAAGGCCUUAGGGUUGUAAAGCUCUUUUAUCCGGGACGAUAAUGACGGUACCGGAGGAAUAAGCCCCGGCUAACUUCG
rnacentral:rRNA from 1 species